AGGAUCAUUAUCAUGUAAUUCAGUCAUGCUUGAUGCGUGAGCUGUAAUAUACCCACCCUGUGUACCACCUCCUGUUGCUUCCUUCCGCUGGGUCCAGAUAAAAAUGUGCCUGGCGGAAGGGUAAAAAAAUCAACCUCCAAGUUUACAGCGGAAUCUGUCUGAUCAAAAUAAGAAUACAAGGAAAUUUUAAAACUUUCAGCAACGGAUCUCUUGGUUCUCGCAUCGAUGAAGAACGCAGCGAAAUGCGAUAAGUAGUGUGAAUUGCAGAAUUCAGUGAAUCAUCGAAUCUUUGAACGCACAUUGCGCCUUCUGGUAUUCCGGGAGGCAUGCCUGUUCGAGAGUCAUUGACAACCAUCUCGAAUCCCCCUUCUAGAGUCCUCGAGGGUUUUUGGGGGAUAUCGGUUCUGGUGGACGAGGAAUAGUGGGCUGCUGGCAGGAUCCCUCCCUAACACACCAAAAUUCAGCGCGUUCGGCGAUGAGCGCUGCGCUGCUGUUUUGGUGGAUGAACAAUUUGGGGGUCCAUUGUGCCCGGCAAAUAUCUCUCUCUCUCCUCCCCUCCGAAAUUCAUAGGCAGUCCCAUGUUUAUCCAACCUGUUGCGUGGGCUUUGUAAAAAGGUAGGCGUUUCUCCAGUCUGGAGGAGGCUCACUUUGCGCCAACGUGGCAAGUCGGGGAUGCAUGGAUUGGCCUCUCAAAGAGAAUAAAAUAAAAACCCCCAGUAGAUUUUUAUUAUUAUUAGAAACCAAAGGUUGACCUCGGAUCAGGUAGGGAUACCCGCUGAACUUAAGCAUAUCAAUAAGCGGAGGAAAAGAAACCAACCGGGAUUGCCUCAGUAACUGCGAGUGAAGUGGCAAAAGCUCAAAUUUGAAAUCCGGUACCUUAGGUGCCUGACUUGUAAUUUGGAGAGACAAAUUUGGUUGGCAGCGCCGGCCUAGGUUCCUUUGAACAGGACAACAUAGAGGGUGAGAAUCCCGUUCCUGGUCGGAAUGGCUGUCACAUUGCUAAAUUGUCUUCGACGAGUCGAGUUGUUUGGGAAUGCAGCUCAAAAUGGGUGGUAAAUGUCAUCUAAAGCUAAAUAUUGGCGAGAGACCGAUAGCGCACAAGUAGAGUGAUCGAAAGAUGAAAAGCACUUUGAAAAGAGAGUCAAAAAGUACGUGAAAUUGCUGAAAGGGAAGCGCUUGAGACCAGACUCGAACCNUNNUGAUCUGCCGUGCUUCUGUGCGGAGCCACUUGCCGCGGUUUGGGCCAGCAUCGGUUCUGGC
rnacentral:rRNA from 1 species